AAUAUAUCACAUUUUGUUCAAUCUGGGAAUGGUAAGGACUCUGAUAAAGUGGUCAAACUGGUGUUUACAUAUGGUAAAUAUUCUGUAUGAAUCAUGGUCCCUUCCUUUCCCUGGUCAAUUCAAAAGUCUUAGCAAUUAAUCUGACAACAUUUAACAUAUAAUUUGAAAAAAUGGUUUGAAAAAGCUUGAAAAAAAUUACAACACACAUACAUGAAACUGUGAUAAAUAGCACCAAAAGUUAACAUGAAAUUUGUACAAAAUAUUAAUGCUUCAAUUUCUAUAAUAAUUUUAUCAUUUGUGACUUAAUACAUACUAUAAUAUCUUUCAAGUCUUUCAAAGAGCUUCCAACAUGACGAAAUUUCAACAGUUUAAUUGCCUUACAUUUGUUGAAGGCAGGUCAACUUUGACCAAAACUCGUGUUCAAUCUAUAACUAACAGUCGAACAACAAACAAAAUGGAAUUUCAUUUAAAAACGGAAAUGUGAAAGACAACAAGGCUGAAACUGGUUACAAUCACCAUUUCACAGAUUUAACUUAUUCGUCUAUGACAAAAAAAUCAAUUCCAUUCCUUUCACUCAAAAAAAAAUAAGGGAUAGACACCGGAAUACAAAAGUCAAUAAAACGGUGAGUUCUGAUUAAUUGUAAUCAACUCUGAAUGAUGAUAAUAUGAGACUUCUUUGAACCAGUUCUAAACAGAAUGAGAGACAAAAAUGCCUUUUAUCCAUCCUAGCUAUCUGAAAAGAAUGUGCUUUUGCCCAUUAAUAAAAACAAAAAACAUGAACAAAGUACAGGGAAAUAAAAAAAAAUAAAAUAGAGAAGAAUAACAAGAACUUGAAAUUGAUGUUUCAUGUCUCAAAAAGGUGUUUUCAGAAUAAAGCUAUUGUUGCUCAGAAAAAAAAGCAAUUGUUGAAAUUAGCUUUUAUAAUAAGCUGCACUUACAAGCUAAACUUAAAACCAAACAUCAAAC
rnacentral:lncRNA from 1 species